rnacentral:rRNA from 1 species
AGAGUUUGAUCCUGGCUCAGAACGAACGUUGGCGGCGUGCUUAACACAUGCAAGUCGAACGAGAACGUCCCGGCUUGCCGGGAUUAGUAAGGUGGCGCACGGGUGAGUAACACGUGAGUAAUUUCCCUCUAAGCUUGGGAUAACACUGCGAAAGCGGUGCUAAUACCGAAUAAGACCACGGUAUCACACGAUACAGUGGGAAAAGGUGGCCUCUGUAUAUACUAUCACUUGGAGAUAAGCUCGCGGACCAUUAGCUUGUUGGUAGGGUAACGGCCUACCAAGGCUGAGAUGGUUAGCUGGUCUGAGAGGAUGAUCAGCCACACUGGAACUGAGACACGGUCCAGACUCCUACGGGAGGCAGCAGUGGGGAAUAUUGCGCAAUGGGGGAAACCCUGACGCAGUGACGCCGUGUGAGUGUGAAGGUUUCGGAUCGAAAGUCUGUCAGUGGGAAGAUAAAGGAGGGAAAUAUUCUGCUGUGCGGACCUCAAGGAACACGGUACUCCUGCACACCCGUAUACGAGGUGAACGUGUCGAUUAUGGGAAGGUGAGGGUUGAGCAAGGACCUUGUCACCAGAUGUUAACCGACUGGUAAAGGAGGAUUCAUGAAGGAUCUAUUGAAACCGGCAGGU